UGUUUUAAUGGCAAAGAUGGAUCAUCCCAGAGCUCAUCAUGACAGACAUAAAGCUUGUGACGUGACUGAACCUGUGUAUGAGAAUGUAACGCUUGAUGGGAAGAGGACGUAGAACUUGUGAGCUUAAUGAUUUUACAGAAUAAUGUAUCUUAGUAUCUUGAAAAUCCUUUAAUGCAGCCUAAAUCUCCUGUUUGAAUGUUAGAUUCCUGUUCAAUAAAGGCAUUUAUACAUUGACAUACAUGUAAAGCUUCUUUAAAACAAUUGUGAAAUGCCAG
rnacentral:lncRNA from 1 species